rnacentral:rRNA from 1 species
UACGGAGGAUCCAAGCGUUAUCCGGAAUCAUUGGGUUUAAAGGGUCCGUAGGCGGUCUAGUAAGUCAGUGGUGAAAGCCCAUCGCUCAACGGUGAAACGGCCAUUGAUACUGCUGGACUUGAAUUAUUGGGAAGCAACUAGAAUAUGUAGUGUAGCGGUGAAAUGCUUAGAGAUUACAUGGAAUACCAAUUGCGAAGGCAGGUUGCUACCAAUUGAUUGACGCUGAUGGACGAAAGCGUGGGUAGCGAACAGG